rnacentral:rRNA from 1 species
AUUGAACGCUGGCGGCAUGCCUUACACAUGCAAGUCGAACGGUAACGCGGGGCAACCUGGCGACGAGUGGCGAACGGGUGAGUAAUGCAUCGGAACGUGCCCAGUAGUGGGGGAUAGCCCGGCGAAAGCCGGAUUAAUACCGCAUACGACCUAUGGGUGAAGGCGGGGGACCGUAAGGCCUCGCGCUAUUGGAGCGGCCGAUGUCAGAUUAGGUUGUUGGUGGGGUAAAAGCCUACCAAGCCGACGAUCUGUAGCUGGUCUGAGAGGACGACCAGCCACACUGGGACUGAGACACGGCCCAGACUCCUACGGGAGGCAGCAGUGGGGAAUUUUGGACAAUGGGGGCAACCCUGAUCCAGCCAUGCCGCGUGCGGGAAGAAGGCCUUCGGGUUGUAAACCGCUUUUGUCAGGGAAGAAACGCGCUGAGCUAAUACCUCGGCGUAAUGACGGUACCUGAAGAAUAAGCACCGGCUAACUACGUGCCAGCCGCCGCAGUAAAAC